rnacentral:misc_RNA from 1 species
AGUGUGGCCGGGAGGUAGUGAGACCAAGAGGUAGUAAAAGGAGGGAGGUGGUGUGGCUGGGAGGUAAUGAGGCUGGGAGAUUAUGAGACCGUGCGGUGCUACUAUAGGCCUACCAGGAUAUUUACACUGUAGUCCAGAAAACUGCGAGGGCAAAGUUUUUCGUAGUGAGAAUUGUGAACUCUUGGAACAACUUGCCAGAGCCUUGUGACGGCACCGAGGGUUAGACUGGAGCAGGUUCAGAUACAUUCAGUAGCCAGUGCUUGCCAACUAUACAUAACAGAGAUGUAACCGAUCAGUCACUUGGCUAAAAGGUUCAGUCUUGGUCUUUAUUUUGUAGCCAAGACUGAGUGACUAGCGGCGAUAUGUAUAGUAUAUUACUUCUUUUACCAAAUUAGCUGUAGGAUAAUUAUUGCCUGCCCUCAUACACACCAGAAAGGUUAGCAAGUUUAAGAUGGUGUUUUUUGUGCGUGAGUGGAAUAUAUUAAAGAUAUUUAUAGUAGAAGAUAUUUGUAGUCAGUAGUGUGUGAGAUCAAUGGGAUAAUAGUGUGAACUAAAACAUAGACUUUCCUAAAUUAUAACUUCUAUUGGGUUUAAUUAGGUGGUUAGACUGGUAAAAACAUAAUUCUUUAAGUUACUUUGACUUGUUCUAAGUAUAUACAGGAAUAAGAACAUUUGACUGUAGCAAGGGUAAAUAUUUAGUAGUUGCCAACACUUACCUGUAUAUUGAGUUUUAUAUAGGGAGAAUUAGAAGGAAAAAUAAUUAUCUAGGAUGUCACAGCUGCUGAUUUUUCAUAUAAAAAAAUCAUUCAAAAGUUCCAAGAUUUCACCUUGUUUUAUUGUCGACAUUGUCAAAGAUCUGGAAAAUAUUUUAAAAAUGGUUAUUUCUUAACUAAACCUCACCUAAUCUUAGUUUAUAAGAAAAACAAGCAGCAGAAGCAUUGUCAGAAGACCUCACCAACCUAACCAAAGAAACUUACCUAACUUCCUAUUCAUGAGACUCAACCCUCUGGACCCCUGGCAUAUUAAACAUAAAGAACUUACUAUGAUAUGGUGUAAUUUAAUGUUUUUUGUGUACAUGAGAGAAGUGUUCCAUGUGUACUGCUGAAUAAUUUCCAUAAAAAUUAUUAUUAUAUCAGACCUCACUGAUGAAAAUUUAGUAAGAAUAUAAACAUCAAAGCAAAUAACACAUCAGCUGUACCGUCCUUGACAUGAUAAAUGUUUGUUUAAUGGUUGUGGCUCCUUUUUGUGAUGAGAAUAACAGCCUCUUCUCAUAUCAAUUUCAAAUACCAAAUCUCUUUCAGCAGUGUUGAAACCUAACCUACCCUAACCAGACCUAACCUAACCUAAUCUAACCUAACCUAACCUAAUCUAACCUAAUCCUAGAUUAACCAUAUACAAAAAUCUUGCCACAGCCAUUAAACGAAUAUUAACCAUUGAUAUUAGCCAGAAAAGCUAUAAAAGAUUAUUCUAGAACAUUUCUGUCAUAAAUUUGUAAUUUAAUUUUUUUACCAACAAUAUUAGUUGCUCAAAGUCGUGUAGCAUGGCUUUGAAGUAAAACGGAAAUGUGGGAUAAAAUACUAAAAAGAUCACCAAACAAAUCUGAGAACAUCAUUACCACCAAAAGGAGUCGUUCAAUUUCGUUCAUUUAUUCCACAGUUGUUCUUAUCAUUGUACCUCUCUGGUCCGGCAUUCUGUGGUCCGGAAACUCCCGUGGUCCGGAACGAUUUUAGUUUGCCCAAUAGCCAACAUCCCUGAUGUAACUCAAAUGUAAUUUGAGUUAUAGUCCCAUCACUUCACAUUGGAAACAGAAUUAUGGUAGCAUUAAAGGUAAAUGAAAUAGUAUUUUAACAGUAUUACUUUUUCUUAUUUAUUUAUGUCCUAUCUUAUGUUUUUAUGCUUUAUGUACGUAGGGUGUUUCGAGGGUGAAUUUCCAUGGUCCGGAAAUUUCCAUGGUCCGGCACCGGUCAGGUCCCGAGGUUGCCGGACUAGAGUGGUACAACCUGUAAUCAGUGUGAGCUUCCACAAUGGCACUGACUCUUCUUCCCAACAAUGCCAUGACCUUCACAGAGAACCAGCAUGGCACGGCUGUCCUGGAAAAGUUGCGAAACCAACGUGAACUUAUACGGUGCUGUGACGUCAUUCUCCACGUGGCAAGAAGGCAGUUCCAGGCUCACCGCUGUGUCCUGGCAGCCUGUUCUCCAUAUUUUGACUCCAUUUUUAAAGCAAGUAAAACUGUCAAGGAGCAGCUCACCAUCAGCUCCCAGGACCCAGAGGUUUUCCGUUGCCUCUUGGCAUACAUGUACACCGGAACAGUGGUUGUAGAUAAAACCAAUGUGGCAGAACUGUUGCGUCUAGCCAACAAGCUCCUCAUUGCCAAGUUGAAGGAACAUUGUGCAGAAUACCUUGAAAGAUACUUGGAUGCAACAAAUUGUCUCACUGUGCGGGACAUGGCUACCAAGUUCAACUUGGAAGCUUUAGAAAAAACUACUGGAACUUUCAUCCAAGCCCAUUUAUCUGAUAUUAUUGAGGGCGAGGAAGUACUUGAUCUAUCACACACCAGGUUGGAGGAUUUCUUGAGCAGUCCUAGCUGGCAGUUGCAUGAAGACCAGACUCUGUUGUUGGUGACUCGAUGGGUCCACCGUUGUCCACAAAAUCGCGAGCGUAACCUGCGUAGCCUCCUGACGUGGGUACAAUGGUCCUGUCUCAACCCACAGACAGCCAUCUACCUCAUCCAGACGCACCCACUCUACACUAAUCCAAAUUCACUUCUGGCGUUAUUUUUUCUCCUGGAUUCUCUCAACGAACAUUCUUUGCUACCUGCCGACUUACUUGCACCUUUCUCAAAGCUGAAGGCGAAGUUUUGUCAAUCAACAGACUCUGUUGUUGAUAAUGAAAGUUUCCUGAGUCUUGCAAUAUCUACUGCAAUUGAUAAGCUUCAGGAUGACCAGAUUGGCAGUGGGAGAAGCCAGGAAACUCUCCCAAGUGUCAGUGAUUUUUCUAACCACACUGUUCCACCUCCACAAGACCUUACGUCAGACACCGAGGAUGAUCCGGCUAACCAGUCUUCCUUGCAGUCACACCACAAAAUUAGUGACUUUCACAACUCAAGAAGAGGAUGUGAUGGCCAAGAAGAGGAACAACACAACCAGUAUGACAUGUGUCAUAUUGGUCAUAGUACCCAGGACGUCCAUAUUAACCAGCCAAAUUUAAUUUUUUCUCAUCCGCCUUCUGCAUCCAAUGCUGCUGGUUGUCACUCACAUGUUUCUGAAGAUUCUGUCGGGGAUACAACUACAACAGAUGACAACAAAUUUGCCUGUAAUAACCAAGGGCAUUUUGGUCAGUCUUUUGUAAGAAAUAUGGCCGUGUGGCAUCAGGAGCCUCCUUAUGGUGCUGAGGAAUCUCUCUCUUCAGACUCAAGUCACAUGUACCAAAGACAAGUUUAUGAUCAAAAUUUCAGUAUGAAAGUUCCCUGCUCUGAUUCUUACACUUCAAGAGUUAAUCCUUCUGGUGUUUACCCUAUGAGAGAAAAUCCUCUUAAGAACAAACAAGGCUUUGCCAGUGCAGUGUCUUAUUAUGUCAGUACGUAUAAUCCUGAAGAUGACAUGACUGUCUCAGAUGACCAGAGUACUCAGUCAUUUCCCUAUGAUGAGAAUUUUAAUCCAGCCAUUAAUUUUUACCCUUGCAGAUCGGGUGAUGUAAAAGACACGCAACACAUAAUGAUUGAACCUCAUCAUAAUCAAGAAAAUUAUGCAAAAUCUUAUUACCACGAUGAGUCGACAACCACGCAGGAUAUUAACUGUAAUCAGCGCGAUAUAUAUUACAACGAAAAUUCAACAGAUACUCAGAUAUCUAACUGUCCACAAGACAUGACUGUUCAGCAUCAGUUCCCUCAGUGUUCAGAAGUGAAGCAGGAAGUAUCUCAGAAUCAAGAGUUUCCAGAAAAAGUUGUAGAGUCAACAGAUACCUCACUAACAAAUGCUGUACCAGAGAGAUUCCUUGCUGAUGAGUCACAUUAUGAGCACUAUCCACUAAAAAACAGUGCUGCUGACAAGUUCCACAGAGAAAUGAACAGGCUUGGGGAGGAAUCAUUGUUGGCUCUGGGGCCUAGAGAGAUGUCCACACAGGAUCUCUUAUUGGAUGGGAAGAGAUUGUCAUCAGAAUGUGGCAUAGAAACGAGAGGCAUAUUUACCCUUGUUGGAGGCACCGUAGAUGGAGAUCGCACAUACAAGGGGUGUCCAUCAGAGUGUUUGGAUGGAGAUCGGGUAUAUAAGGGAUGCAGCUCAGAUGUAAGAAAUAUUUUAACAGAGAGUGAAACAUCAACAGACAACCAAAGAAAUCUUCAAGACGACAUUUCCAAAGCCGUCCCAGCCGGACUACGCCUAUUUGUACCACCACGUCAGGUCAAGUUUAAGAUCAACCGUAGUGUUAAUUCAUCCGGCUCAGGGUUGGUGUCAGACGCCAGGCAGGACAUAGGAGUUUCAUCAGAAGCAUCUCUGCCAAGUACUACUGCAGUUAAUAGUAUUGAUAUGCUUCACUUGAAAACAGAGGAACUCAACCCAGAUGACCCCAAUGAAGUGCUUCAGGAAGAUGUAAUAGAUGGCUUAGAAAAACAGGACAUAAAACAAGUUGCUGGUAAGAAACAUGAUACUAAAGACUUGACAAUUACACAAGUCAAUAAAUUCAAAGAGGUUAAUGAGGAGAGUGAAACACCAUCAGCUGUCAACAAGGAGCCAUUGAGAAGAACCAGUAGAAGAGUCAAGUUGAUAGAGAAGGUUAAAGCUGAAGUUGUGAAGACAACACCAGCUUCAACUGAGAGAGUUUGUGAGCUGUGUCAAGCCUCAUUCCCACUUACAAAGGAAUAUUUUGUGCACAUGAGGGAGCACUUCCCAGGCCCUCCUCAUUGCUGUGACACUUGUGAGGCAUCCUUCAAGCGCAUUUAUCACCUGCUAGAGCACCGCGUCAUUCACCAGGAGACCAAGACCCACAAAUGUCCACACUGUCCCUUCAGCUCACACAAGAAGUUCAACUUAAAUGAACACUUAACACAACACUCUAAAAAUAGAAAGUAUAAAUGCAAGAUCUGUGGUGACCUAUUCUUUCGAAUACAAGCUAUGCAUUAUCAUGAAACAAAGCACACUAUGGAGCGUCCAUUCUUAUGUGAGACAUGUGGCUGGUCAGGGAAAACUAAAAAUGCUUUGGUUUUACACACCAAGUUUCACACUGGUGAGCUGCACAGAUGCCAGUUCCCAAAUUGCAAUUAUACAACAGGCAAAAAGUCUCAUCUCAAAGAACACAUGCAACACCAUUCUAACAGCCGGCCGUUUGUUUGUGAUGUCUGUAACAGGACUUUCAUCACCAACAGCCACCUUCAGAGGCACAUGAAGUUGCACCUCCCUGAGAAACUAAAUAAGUGCCCACAGUGUGAUUAUUGUUCUCCAAGACCGGACCGAUUAAAGGCAGACAUAUUUUCAGACCUGGAGAACACCAAUGUAUCUCUACAGCCUCAGUUGCCUGGUACUCCUCCUCCAACCACCCUGUCAGAAUAUCCCCCCAGUCCAACAUAUACCUUCCCAGCUCAGUCAGCUCCUGAUGACCCCCUCAUGAUUGUUCCUGAUAUGAGCUCCGUCACUGAGGGAUUCAACCCGCUCCCUCAAGCUUCUCCGCUACAUCGUAACCUCGGGCCAAGCCUCAACUAUGAGGAGAGUUACCACAGCCCACAGUACCAGACGUCUCCAUCACACUUUGCAGCACUGUCACCCACACAUGCCGCACUCUCAUAUGCUAAUGGACAUCACCAAGAAGGGAGUCCAUUAAAUUUUGCUGCCUAUAUGAAAUAUUAAUUAACUUAAAGUGCUUAUAGCUAUGGAUGGUCAUCUCUCUGAAUGUCACAUAAUCAACGCUGGAGUUCCUCAGGGCUCUUAUUUUACAUUGAUGAUAUGCAGUGAGUCUAGAAGCUAGCAAGAGUGAAUAGUCCAUCAACCUUUAGGACAUCAACUCUUAAUGACUCAGGAAUGCCACCCUUGACACCUAUGUCACCUCACAACACUGACUCAGAGUAGCCACCCCAAGAGGCUGGGGAGUCGAAGGAGAAUACAGCUUCAGGCCUAAAAACAAAAAGGUUAGCUCAUUACUGUUUUACAUUACUCUUGCAUUUUUAAUGAUAUUUUCCUGUUUUUGUGAUGGUUAUAUUUCAUAUAGCAUCUAAAGAGCACAUAUAUUUAACAAAGAAGGGUUUAGUAAUGCAGUAAAAAAUAAUCAUCCACUCCACCACCUAACUCUUGUGCCUGCCUGGAUCCUUUCUGCACAGUCAGUCAUUUGGGGUGGAGGUGGGGGAAUGGUCGACUUGGGAGAGGGCCGUUUGUUGGGGUAUGUGAUACAAGUUACUCAUCAGAGAGGGAGGGGAUUGAAGAAAGCAGGAAAAUUCAUGAAAGAAAGAAGGGAAAGAUGGAUUUAUUUACUAUAUUAUCUUAGGUUUACAUGCUUGAAAAGGGAAUAUGACGAACCUUAUUUUAUGAUUAUGUGCCAUUCAUUUAUAAUUUUUCUGGUUGUUCAGGUUUUAAACAACGGUUAUUAGAUAUUUAUAAUAACGUUGAUUUAAGGAGAAACAUUGAAUACGAGGAUGAAAACACCCAGGAA